rnacentral:lncRNA from 1 species
UUUUUUUUUUUUUUUUUUUUUGUAUCAGCUUAACAUAUCAUUUAGCACAAAUAUGUAUACCCACUUAAAAGGUAUUUUUAAAAAAUAUUCAAUAGAAAAAUAUCUGUACAAUUAGCUACUGUGGUGGAUUGGAUAAUGGACCCCAAAUAAUAUGCCUACUCAGAACCUGUGAACGUGAGUUUAUUUGAAAAUAUAGUCUUUACAGAUACAAUGAAGGUAAGGAUCGCCAGAUGAUAUCAUCCAGGAUUAACCAGAUGCUGUAGAAGAACCUCUUCUGCAAGACCAUUCAUUCAUGCCUUGAGACAGUAUGAAUCAAGCUGACUUUUUUUUUUUCCAAGGAGUUUUUAAACUAUAUAUGUGACACCCCGAUGAAUAAGAAGAGCAGCCAGCUGAGAAGGGGAACUCUACAAAGCUAUUUUUUCAACAGCUGUGACUGACCCACUCACCUCACAGGGAACAGCUAUGCAGAGGAGGAAUGACAAGUAGAAGAGGGGAAAAGGGAAAAUAUAAACAAAAAAAACAGUACAUUUCACACAAAAGCAGAGGAACAGAAAGUGAAAUCUGAGACAGACCAUCAAGCUUCAGACCAUCAUGCAGCAAGGGCUCUAGCCAGUUCCAGGUGAAGACCCCACCCCGGGCCAUCAAGGAGCUUCCCUGCCUCCACUAGACAGAGCAGAGUGAGAGUUCCAUGAUCCCCAAUAGGUAGGGGCUAUGCCUCAAGCCAGCAUGAAGCAGUUACAGAAAAAAAGACCAUCAGUUCCUCUGCCUCCCAUGGGGAUCACAUCUUUCAGCAGGGAGAUGAGGCAUAAAAACAAGGUCUGGAGGCAGGGAAUUCAAGGCCGAUUCACACUUCAGCUAUGACAGGAAAUAUCCUCUCCAUAGGGUAUAGGCCAAGUAAAUGACUUUGUAACUUUACUCCUCAUUUUCAUAGGUUGCACCCCAAGUAAGCAAUGGAAUCCUCUAGAGGGUAUUUCCCCAAAAUUCUGUAAUGGGGUCCUUGAGCCCCUAUGCUCGGGCCCACUCCCACACUGUGGAGUGUACUUUCAUUUUCAAUAAAUCCCUCAUUUCUUCCUUGC